GCUCUUACAAAUAACAUUACCACUAAAUAUCUUGUGAAAUAUAGAAGGAGCAGAGUAAAAACACCACUUUUGGGUAAAGUGGCCACAUGUUGUGCUGUUCACUUCAAUCGGUAUUGUGACAAGA
ensembl:snoRNA